rnacentral:rRNA from 1 species
CCUACGGGAGGCUGCAGUAGGGAAUCUUCCACAAUGGGCGAAAGCCUGAUGGAGCAACGCCGCGUGGGUGAAGAAGGUCUUCGGAUCGUAAAACCCUGUUGUUAGAGAAGAAAGUGCGUGAGAGUAACUGUUUACGCUUCGACGGUAUCUAACCAGAAAGCACCGGCUAACUACGUGCCAGCAGCCGCGGUAAUACGUAGGGGGCAAGCGUUAUCCGGAUUUAUUGGGCGUAAAGGGAACGCAGGCGGUCUUUUAAGUCUGAUGUGAAAGCCUUCGGCUUAACCGGAGUAGUGCAUUGGAUACUGGGAGACUUGAGUGCAGAAGAGGGGAGUAGAACUCCAUGUGUAGCGGUGAAAUGCGUAGAUAGAUGGAAGAACACCAGUGGCGAAGGCGGCUCUCUGGUCUGAAACUGACGCUGAGGUGCGAAAGCGUGGGUAGCAAACAGGAUUAGAUACCCGUGUAGUC